rnacentral:rRNA from 1 species
GACGAACGCUGGCGGCGUGCUUAACACAUGCAAGUCGAACGCUGAAGCUUGGUGCUUGCACUGGGUGGAUGAGUGGCGAACGGGUGAGUAACACGUGAGCAACCUGCCCCUGACUCUGGAAUAAGCGCUGGAAACGGCGUCUAAUACUGGAUACGAGAAGGGUCCGCAUGGGCACUUUCUGGAAAGUUUUUCGGUUGGGGAUGGGCUCGCGGCCUAUCAGCUUGUUGGUGAGGUAAUGACUCACCAAGGCGACGACGGGUAGCCGGCCUGAGAGGGCGACCGGCCACACUGGGACUGAGACACGGCCCAGACUCCUACGGGAGGCAGCAGUGGGGAAUAUUGCACAAUGGGCGAAAGCCUGAUGCAGCGACGCCGCGUGAGGGAUGACGGCCUUCGGGUUGUAAACCUCUUUCAGCAGGGAAGAAGCGAAAGUGACGGUACCUGCAGAAGAAGCACCGGCUAACUACGUG